rnacentral:rRNA from 1 species
AUGAACCGAUGCGCCUCUCUUGUAUCAGUUGGGGUCUCUGAAGCAAGCAGCAGCAACAACAUUGGAGCAUUCUCAUCCCUUGAUUUUCUAUAUAUUACCAGCUGCACGAAAUUGUUGAGCCUUGAUGAAUUCCUGACGCCUGCUUAUCUACCUGUUGUGAAGGAAAUUCGGAUUUGGAAUGGUGAGGAGCUGACGUCCUUGCCAGGUGAUAAGCUCCAUGGUUUUUCUUGUUUGCAGAAGCUGGAUAUUGAAAACUGUCCUAAGUUAAAUACACAGAUGGUACUAACAUUACCAUCCUCCCUCAAGAGCUUCAACUUGGAAGCAUGUCAAAGCAUGCAGUCCAUCGACAUUCGUCAGCUGGGGGGUACUCCAGCAUUGAAGGAAUUGAAAAUAGCACACUGUUCAAUCCUCAGAUCCAUAGGUGGUUCAGUAGCAGUUGCUCAGGUAGAGUCCGUGUGUAUUCUUGAUUGCCCAGAGCUGACAGAAGUAAGACAGCCUCUUCGACGAGGAAAUUGGUACGCAUUCUUGUCACCAGCAAAGACGGUUGCAUUAUGCAUCAGCAUUUUUCUGUCUCGUUAUAUACGUGACCAGCUAUAUGCUUGGUAUCUUUACAUCUUCGCAAAACAAAGCUCCUAUAUUCUACCUUGA